rnacentral:lncRNA from 1 species
GUGAUCACAAGCCCUUGACUCUGAUCUGGGAUCGGCCUCUUCCCCUGGGCACACAUAGUCCGUCCUCUACAGGAGGGAGGCUACUGAGUGGGGAUAGGGGGAGGCCCACGAGUGGCCUCCCAGGAAAGCUGAGAAGACCAAGGAGAGAAGAAGCCCUGAGGUUGAUGUUGGAGGGAAGUUGACGGUGACUUCAGGACACUACCCUGCAUAGUAGUUAUCACAUCCGUGUCCACCCAAGGCCCUGAAGAUAAAGCACUUCUCUAGGGGAACACCAAGCACCCCUUACCCCUCGCUCAGAGCCAUUGUGUUCCCUCCCAAGACCCUGUCAACGGAGGGGCUGCUGUUGACUGAGGAGAGGAUGGCUGGGCCAGGCCCUGCCCCCCGACAGUGUGCCCUGAGCAGCUGUCUCUCUUACUGGUCCUGGCCACAGAACAGUUCUCUGAGUGACAAGUAACACGAUCAUCCCAACAGUCCAGGGAUCAAGAUUUGCCUCUGUGUUUUUAAGGUUUUCUUCAAACGCUUAAUAUAGUGCCCUGCAC